rnacentral:lncRNA from 1 species
AUAGAUGAUAAGAGAUUGACCGCAACAGGAGAUAUAAGCAAUGAUGAUUAAUUGAAGAAGUGCUGCAACCUCAAAAAUAGCUAGUGAUAAAUCCAUAGGUGCAAUCUGAUUGAACAAAGACAGCAUGAGAUGACUAGCAGAGACGAUUGCAAGAUUAAUGGAGCCAGCAGUAAACCUGCAGAGGUUGAAACAGAGUGCCC